CCUACGGGACGCUGCAGUGAGGAAUAUUGGUCAAUGGACGGAAGUCUGAACCAGCAAUGCCGCGUGCAGGAUGACGGUUCUAUGAGUUGUAAACUGCGUUUGUAGGAGGGUAAGCACCCGUAGGUGAAGGGGCUUGAAAGGAUAAUACGAAUAAGGAUCGGCUAACUCCGUGCCAGCAGCAGAGGUAAGACGGGGGAUCAAAGCGUUACCCGGAGUGAAUGGGGUUAAAGGGUGCGUAGGCGGUGUGUUAAGUUAGGGGUGAAAUGCCGGUGCUCAACACCGGAACUGCCUCUAAGACUGUUGAACUAGAGAGUAGUUGCGGUAGGCGGAAUGUCUGGUGUAGCGGUGAAAUGCUUAGAGAUCAUACAGAACACCGAUUGCGAAGGCAGCUUACCCAACUAUAUCUGACGUUGAGGAACGAAAGCGUGGGUAGCAAACAGGAUUAGAUACCCCAGUAGUC
rnacentral:rRNA from 1 species